UACGUAGGGGGCUAGCGUUGUCCGGAAUCAUUGGGCGUAAAGAGCGCGUAGGCGGCCAGAUAAGUCCGGUGUGAAAGUCAAAGGCUCAACCUUUGAAUGCCGCUGGAAACUGUCUGGCUAGAGUCCGGGAGGGGCGAGUGGAAUUCCUGGUGCAGCGGUGAAAUGCGCAGAUAUCAGGAGGAACACCAAUAGCGAAGGCAGCUCGCUGGGACGGUACUGACGCUAAGGCGCGAAAGCGUGGGGAGCGAACAGG
rnacentral:rRNA from 1 species